GACGAACGCUGGCGGCGUGCUUAACACAUGCAAGUCGAACGGAAAGGCCUUUUCGGAGGUACUCGAGUGGCGCACGGGUGAGUAACACGUGGGUGAUCUGCCCUGCACUCUGGGAUAAGCCUGGGAAACUGGGUCUAAUACCGGAUAGGACCGCACUUUAGUGUGUGUGAUGGAAAGUUUUUUCGGUGUAGGAUGAGCCCGCGGCCUAUCAGCUUGUUGGUGGGGUAAUGGCCUACCAAGGCGGCGACGGGUAGCCGGACUGGGGGGUUGGUCGGCCACAUUGGGACUGGGGUGCGGCCCAGGCUCCGACGGGAGGCAGCAGUGGGGAAUAUUGCACCAUGGGGGGAAGCCUGAUGCAGCGAAGCCGCGUGGGGGAUGACGGCCUUCGGGUUGUAAACUCCUUUCGCCAGGGACGAAGCGUUUUGUGACGGUACCUGGAGAAGAAGCACCGGCUAACUACGUG
rnacentral:rRNA from 1 species